rnacentral:sRNA from 1 species
AGGCCGAAGCGGAGCGGUAUAGGGAGCCGCGGCCGCGGGUCACCCGGUGGGGAGCAGUUGCGAAGUGUUAGCUAGACAGCAGUGAGUAGGGCUCGGGCGCCGGCGAGAUGCCUUUGUUCACCGCCAACCCCUUCGAGCAAGACGUGGAAAAAGCCACGAAUGAGUACAACACUACAGAAGAUUGGAGUCUUAUUAUGGACAUAUGUGACAAAGUUGGAAGUACUCCUAAUGGAGCAAAAGAUUGCCUAAAAGCCAUAAUGAAAAGAGUAAAUCAUAAGGUUCCACAUGUUGCUCUGCAGGCACUAACUCUUCUUGGGGCUUGUGUGGCAAACUGUGGAAAGAUAUUUCAUUUAGAAGUAUGUUCCCGUGAUUUUGCAACAGAAGUACGUGCUGUGAUUAAAAAUAAGGCACAUCCUAAAGUAUGUGAAAAACUGAAAUCUUUAAUGGUGGAGUGGUCAGAAGAAUUUCAGAAGGACCCUCAGUUUAGUCUAAUAUCUGCAACUAUUAAAUCUAUGAAAGAAGAAGGAAUUACUUUUCCUCCAGCAGGUUCUCAGACUGUCUCAGCUGCUGCCAAGAAUGGUACGUCAUCGAACAAAAACAAAGAGGAUGAAGACAUAGCUAAAGCUAUUGAAUUAUCGCUGCAAGAACAGAAACAGCAACACACAGAAACAAAAUCCUUAUAUCCAUCCUCAGAAAUUCAGUUAAAUAAUAAGGUUGCACGGAAAGUGAGAGCUUUAUAUGAUUUUGAAGCUGUUGAAGACAAUGAACUCACCUUUAAACAUGGUGAAAUAAUUAUUGUUUUGGAUGACAGUGAUGCCAAUUGGUGGAAAGGAGAAAAUCACAGAGGAAUAGGACUUUUCCCAUCCAAUUUUGUAACAACUAAUUUAAACAUAGAGACUGAGGCAGCGGCUGUGGACAAAUUGAAUGUAAUUGAUGAUGACGUGGAGGAAAUUAAGAAAUCAGAGCCUGAGCCUGUUUAUAUAGAUGAGGAUAAGAUGGAUAGAGCCCUGCAGGUACUUCAGAGUAUAGAUCCAACAGAUUCAAAACCAGACUCCCAGGACCUUUUGGAUUUAGAAGAUAUCUGCCAACAGAUGGGUCCAAUGAUAGAUGAAAAACUUGAAGAAAUUGAUAGGUGAGAUUUUUCGUGCAAGGAAUAAAAAGUAUAGUUUUGGGGGGUUCACUUGUUUUUUGGCAAACAGUGAAGUAGGGAAAGUUUUUGUGGAACUGUACAAUUCAUGGAAAUUGUUUUUCAGUUUCCCAAGCUCUUACAAAUUUAUAGCAAGGUGGUGCUUUUUAUUUUGUUUUUGUUUUUCUAAAAAACAAGCUCUGACAAGUUUUAUUAAAUAAAAAUUUUGCAUGGCUUA